AUUGAACGCUGGCGGCAGGCCUAACACAUGCAAGUCGAACGAGUGGCGGACGGGUGAGUCAUGUCUGGGAAACUGCCCGAUGGAGGGGGAUAACUACUGGAAACGGUAGCUAAUACCGCAUACCAUCGGAUGUGCCCAGAUGGGCUUAGCGAGUAGGUGGGGUAACGGCUCACCUAGGCGACGAUCCCUAGCUGGUCUGAGAGGAUGACCAGCCACACUGGGACUGAGACACGGUCCAGAGUCCUAGGGGAGGCAGAAGUGGGGAAUAUUGCACAAUGGGCGCAAGCCUGAUGAAGCCAUGCCGGGUGGAUGAAGAAGGCCUUCGGGUUGUAAAGUACUUUCAGCGAGGAGGCGUUACUCGCAGAAGAAGCACCGGCUAACUCCGUGCCAGCAGCCGCGGUAAUAC
rnacentral:rRNA from 1 species